AAUGCUGAUCACUCUUUGGAGCUCUCUUGGGAAUGACACAGUCACUCGACUCCCAAUGAGCUGGACAGACCACCUGCAGGAAAUUCCAUGCUCGGAUCCCUCAACAUCCUUCAACUCUACCUUCUCUAACAGGAGGCGGCAGCGGUGGUUACUCCAGUUAUGACACCGGCGACACACACGUCCAUUUCAGGCUGCUGUCACAGAACACCAUAGACUGGGUGGCUUAGAAACAGCAGACGUUGAUUCUCCCACAGUCCUGGAGGCUGGAGGUCUGAGAUCCAGCCCGGAGUGCAAGGACGUGAUCAUAAAUCACUGCAGCCUCCACCUCCUGGACUCAAGCAAUCCUUCUGCCUCAGCCUCCCAAGUAGCCGAGACUACAGGUGCACAUCCCCACAUCCAGCUAAUUUUUUUUAUUUCUGUUUAGUAGAAAUGGGGUCUUCUCUGUGUUUCUCAGGCCGGACUCCAACUGAGCUCAAGUGGUCUUACAGCCAUGGCAUCCCAAAGUGGGAGGAUUACAGGUGUGAGUCACCACACCCUACCCGGAGAAACUCUUUUUUGUGUGUGUGGAUUUUCACUCUUGUUGCCCAGGCUGGACUGCCGUGGAACGAUCUCAGCUCACUGCAACCUCUGCCUCUCAGGUUCAAGCGAUUUGCCUGGUUCAGCCUCCCGAGUAGCUGGGCUGGGAUUACAGGCGCCCACUACCAUGCUUGGCUAAGUUUUGGUAUUUUUAGUAGAGAUGAGGUUCCACCAUGUUGGCCAGGCUGGUCUCGAACUGCUGACCUCAGGUGAUCCAGCCAUCUCGGCCUCCGAAAAUGCUGGGAUUAUAGGCGUGAGCCACCGCACCCAGUGAGCAACUCUUUUUUUAAUGGGCUUUGAUUACCAUUUGUGGCCUGCGGUUUCACCCUAUUGUUUUUUUUUUUUAACAAAUUUGCUGGCUUUUUGUCUUUUGAAUGUCCAAGAAAACACCUUUUCCCAUCUACGUGAGGCCCCCAGACCCUCAGGGAUGCACAUCUAAUGCAGCUUCCGCCACCAGGCUCGUGAACAGUAAACAGGGGCGAGACGACACCUGCACUCCUCCCCUGCCCUGGAGAGCCCAUAGGAGUGUCUGCAGCCUUUCAAACCAUGUCACUCAGGUUUGCUGACCCGUUUGCUUCUGUGAGGUCAUGUGGACUUCUCG